CAGUAGCCGCGGUAAUACGAGGGGCGCAAGCGUUAUUCGGAUUGAUUGGGUGUAAAGGGUGUGCAGACGGCUUAUUAAGUCACUUGUUAAAUUCUUCGGCCUAACUGAAGGUCUGCAAGUGAUACUGAUGAGCUAGAGGGUGGAAGAGAGAAGUGGAAUUCCCGGAGUAGCGGUAAAAUGCGUAGAUCUCGAGAGGAACACCAAUGGCGAAGGCAGCUUCUUGGUCCAUUCCUGACGUUCAUACACGAAAGCGUGGGGAGCAAACCGGAUUAGAUACCAGUAGUCCCUGUCUCUUAUACAC
rnacentral:rRNA from 1 species